GAGCUUGAUGCGUCUAUGGUCUUGCUCAGGGGCGUCACCUACAUAGACUAGUUCCAAAACAUGUUUGCGGUUUUGGAAUGAAAUUUAGCAAGCUGGUUCUUCCUGCUUUUUGUCGCUGAUAAAUGGAAGAAUAAGAUUCCAAUCGGACGACUAAGCAUGUAGACGUCUUUCAUCCCUCUAUUUCGGACGGGAGUUCAAUUCUCCCCGCCUCCACAU
rnacentral:tmRNA from 1 species